GACGAACGCUGGCGGCGUGCUUAACACAUGCAAGUCGAACGGUGAAGCUCCAGCUUGCUGGAGUGGAUCAGUGGCGAACGGGUGAGUAACACGUGAGCAACCUGCCCCUGACUCUGGAAUAAGCGCUGGAAACGGCGUCUAAUACUGGAUACGAGAAGGGUCCGCAUGGGCACUUUCUGGAAAGUUUUUCGGUUGGGGAUGGGCUCGCGGCCUAUCAGCUGGUUGGUGAGGUAAUGGCUCACCAAGGCGACGACGGGUAGCCGGCCUGAGAGGGCGACCGGCCACACUGGGACUGAGACACGGCCCAGACUCCUACGGGAGGCAGCAGUGGGGAAUAUUGCACAAUGGGCGAAAGCCUGAUGCAGCGACGCCGCGUGAGGGAUGACGGCCUUCGGGUUGUAAACCUCUUUCAGCAGGGAAGAAGCGAAAGUGACGGUACCUGCAGAAGAAGCACCGGCUAACUACGUG
rnacentral:rRNA from 1 species